AACGUAGGGGGCGAGCGUUGCCCGGAUUCACUGGGCGUAAAGCGCGUGUAGGCGGUCCGUUAAGUCGGAUGUGAAAUCUCUGGGCUCAACCCAGAAAUCGCAUCCGACACUGGCGGACUUGAGGAUGGUAGAGGUUGGUGGAAUUCCCGGUGUACCGGUGAAAUGGACAGAUAUCGGGAGGAACACCAGUGGCGAAGGCGGCCAACUGGGCCAUUCCUGACGCUGAGACGCGAAAGCCAGGGGAGCGAACCGG
rnacentral:rRNA from 1 species